rnacentral:rRNA from 1 species
AUUGAACGCUGGCGGCAUGCUUUACACAUGCAAGUCGAACGGCAGCGCGGGCUUCGGCCUGGCGGCGAGUGGCGAACGGGUGAGUAAUACAUCGGAACGUGCCCAGUAGUGGGGGAUAGCUCGGCGAAAGCCGGAUUAAUACCGCAUACGACCUGAGGGUGAAAGCGGGGGAUCUUCGGACCUCGCGCUCUUGGAGCGGCCGGUGGCAGAUUAGCUAGUUGGUGGGGUAAAGGCCUCCCAAGGCGACGACCUGUAGCUGGUGUGAGAGGACGACCAGCCACACUGGGACUGAGACACGGCCCAGACUCCUACGGGAGGCAGCAGUGGGGAAUUUUGGACAAUGGGCGAAAGCCUGAUCCAGCAAUGCCGCGUGUGUGAUGAAGGCCUUCGGGUUGUAAAGCACUUUUGGCGGGAACGAAAAGGAAUGUGCCAAUACCACGGUUCGAUGACGGUACCCGCAGAAUAAGCACCGGCUAACUACGUG